rnacentral:lncRNA from 1 species
AUCGCGAUUCACGUCGUGAGACAUUUUCUGACUUCUUCGAAAUCUUGAAUUCUUGAAUUUUUCGAUCUUCGACGAUACGCACCAGUUCUUCAAAACUCCGACUUACUUCACGAAAUUUGCCAAUACACAAGACUUAACAAUCUCCCCCUUUGGCAAUUUCGUGACAAAACACACACCAAUUCAAAAUUACAAUUUACAGAAAAAUGAAGUUCAAUUGUCAUCACCAAAACAUUGAACUCCUCGCGUGUAAUCCAAAUACAGUUUGAAACUCAAAAUUACAUCAAAACUCCUAAAACAGACUCUAUGACUUAGACGCAACUAGGAGUCUUGAAGUCUUGAUUUCCUGCAAAACACUUCAUUCAAAAAUGAUUAGCACUAAAUUCUUAUACCUUCUCCCCCUUCGUUCACAUCUCCUCCUUUGUUCUUGAACUUAUCAUCCUCUGAUUCAGUUCAAAGCCUGUUUUAUCCAUGCUCUCCCCCUUCAUCUAUGCUCUCCCCCUUUUUAUCAAAAAUUGCCAAAAGAAAGCAAAUAGAAAGAGAAAACAUACUAGAAAAAUAUGAGAGUAGUCUAGUC